UACGUAGGGGGCGAGCGUUAUCCAGAUUUACUGGGCGUAAAGCGCGUGUAGGCGGCUGGUUAGGUGUGAUGUGAAAUCCUCGGGCUCAACCCGAGAACUGCAUUGCAAACCGGCCUGGCUAGAGUGCAGGAGAGGGAAGCGGAAUUCCCGGUGUAGCGGUGAAAUGCGUAGAGAUCGGGAGGAACACCAGCGGCGAAGGCGGCAAACUGGAUAGGCACUGACACUCAACAACGAAAGCGUAGGGAGCAAACAGG
rnacentral:rRNA from 1 species